rnacentral:rRNA from 1 species
CAACGAUGAAGAGUUUGAUCCUGGCUCAGGAUGAACGCUAGCGGCAGGCCUAACACAUGCAAGUCGAGGGGUAACAUAGGAAAGCUUGCUUUUCUGAUGACGACCGGCGCACGGGUGCGUAACGCGUAUACAACCUACCUUUUAGCGGGGAAUAGCCCAGGGAAACUUGGAUUAAUGCCCCAUAGUAUAUAGA